rnacentral:rRNA from 1 species
UGCCAGCCGCCGCGGUAAUACGGAGGGUGCAAGCGUUGUUCGGAAUUAUUGGGCGUAAAGCGCGUGUAGGCGGUUCGUUAAGUCUGAUGUGAAAGCCCGGGGCUCAACCCCGGAAGUGCAUUGGAAACUGGCGAACUUGAGUACGGGAGAGGAAAGUGGAAUUCCGAGUGUAGGGGUGAAAUCCGUAGAUAUUCGGAGGAACACCAGUGGCGAAGGCGGCUUUCUGGUCCAGCACUGACGCUAAAUUGCGAAAGCUAGGGGAGCGAACGGAAUUAGAUA